UACCUCCACGCGUCCACGUUUAUCUUUCCUAUAAAUCUCCAACAACACGUGUCACCUAAAUACUCACGUUCUCUCUACUCGACACGUGUCCUACCUCAUAACAACUUGCAUGACAGUGACCUCUUCUGCGAAAGCACAAAAAAACAUUUUGCAGUGAAAAAUCGCGUCACACUCACCACGUGUCGAUGUACAGUACCCUCCCAUGAUCGCCACUUGUCUCUUCAUUCCACGACCUCGUUGUCACAUCUCGAGGGUAAUUUCGGUAACACAAAUAUUAUUCUUUUUUCUUCUAUUUCUCUUUCAAUUUCAACAACAAAACAAUUUUUUCAUUCUUCCAAUCUUUUUUUUGUUCUUCUUUUCUUCCCAUUUGCAUUCAUCUUCCGGGUUAUCGGAAAAUCUAUAUUUUUGUGGGAUUGUUUCCUGUUUUAA